rnacentral:rRNA from 1 species
AGAGUUUGAUCCUGGCUCAGAACUAACGCUGGCGGCGUGCCUAACACAUGCAAGUCGUACGAGAAAGCCGGCUUCGGCGGGUGAGUAAAGUGGCGCACGGGUGAGUAACGCGUGGAUAAUCUGCCCUUAAGUGUGGAAUAACGUACCGAAAGGUGCGCUAAUACCGCAUAAUGCCUGGCAACACAAGUUGUCCGGCCAAAGAAGGCCUCUAUUUACAAGCUUUCGCUUCAGGAUGAGUCCGCGUACCAUUAGCUUGUUGGUGGGGUAAUGGCCUACCAAGGCUGCGAUGGUUAGCUGGUCUGAGAGGAUGAUCAGCCACACUGGAACUGAGACACGGUCCAGACUCCUACGGGAGGCAGCAGUGAGGAAUAUUGCGCAAUGGGGGCAACCCUGACGCAGCAACGCCGCGUGAGUGAGGAAGGUUUUCGGACCGUAAAGCUCUGUCGAGUGGGAAGAAGUGUAUCAUGGCUAAUAUCCGUGAUAUUUGACGGUACCGCUAGAGGAAGCACCGGCUAACUCCGUGCCAGCAGCCGCGGUAAUACGGGGGGUGCAAGCGUUGUUCGGAAUUAUUGGGCGUAAAGAGCGUGUAGGCGGCCGAGCAAGUCAGAUGUGAAAUCCCCGGGCUUAACCCGGGAAGUGCAUUUGAAACUGCUAGGCUUGAGUAGGGGAGAGGAAAGUGGAAUUCCUGGUGCAGAGGUGAAAUUCGUAGAUAUCACGAGGAACACCGGUGGCGAAAGGCGACUUUCUGGCCCUAUACUGACGCUGAGACGCGAGAGCGUGGGUAGCAAACAGGAUUAGAUACCCUGGUAGUCCACGCCGUAAACGAUGUUCACUAGGUGUUGGGGGUAUUGACCCUCUCAGUGCCGCAGCUAACGCAUUAAGUGAACCGCCUGGGGAGUACGGUCGCAGAUUAAACUCAAAGGAAUUGACGG